AGUACCGGAAAGAAGGCAUUCCCAGGGCAUUCGGUGUCUCUGACUUGCCUGUGCCCGUACAACGUGUAAUUUGCUCUCACAUGACUGUGUUCUACCGCAUAGGCGAUAAAUUUCUGUGCAACUUCCAUCAUUGGUUUUGGUGCGUGGAGCAUGUGCACCAACCACACCGAAUCCACGGCCAACGUACACAUUCCCAUCACCACCGACGGCAAAACUAUAACCUAUAUCGUCCCAGCCGUGCCCAUCCAUGUGAAAGUCCUGCAUGGAUCUCAUGGCUGCCUUGCAUGCGUCCGUAGUAAGGCACACAUCCGGUAUGAAAGAGUGAUGAACAACAACAUACUCAACAGGACCAUGAAUGUGGGUUCGUCCUUUGGGUAGGCGAGCCGCCCACUCAUCGCGGCUUAUUAUUUCCCAGGACAAGGGUUUUUCGUUUGUGUUGAAGGCCGCGUAAACAAUAAAGCAAACUAUCAUCAGAAUUAACCAUUGUUAGUUGGCGAUCAGUGACUAGCUGAAUUAAAAUGUAUUUUUGUUUGUUUACUUGCUCCGACGGUCGUCACGAAGACGAUGAUGGACAGAAGGUAGAGACACUUGUUCAUUGUGGAACGAAACUAUUAUUACUACCCGAGACCGAACUGGCUCAAUUAUAAGUGACUAUUUGGAUGACUGACCAUGUUAAACUUGAAUUGAUAAGGAUGAUAAGGCGCAGAAGGCUGAUUCAGGUUCAGUAGGUGGAUCGGAUUCUGUUUUUGAAAGUUUUUGGACUUCCAUAUCUAAUCUUUGGCAUUGUAGCUGAUAAAUGUGGUAUAACUAUGUUUGUUUUUGUGUGUUCUUACACAGCGUGAUGAAAUAGUAAUUGAUAAAAAGUUUUUAUCAAUCAAAAAAUCAUGCUCAAAAAUGUUAUUUUAAAAGUCUAUUCAAGUGCUUUUUGUCUAUAUUUACCUAUUUGGCGCAAACAAAAAUACAUAGCGGCAAAUUAUUGUUAUGAGUGAAUAAAAAGUGUUAAAUCACAACUUAUCUGAUUGGAUAAAAA